CUUUUUAGGGCUGCAGUCACAGCAUAUGGAGGUUCCCAGUCUAGGGGUCUAAUCAGAGCCACAGCUGCCAGCCACAGCCACAGCAACACCAGAUCUUAGCUGUGUCUGGGACUUAUACUACAGUUCACAGCAACAAGGGGUCCUUAACCCACUGAGCAAGGCCAGGAAUUGAACCUGAAACCUCAUGGAUCCUAGUUGGACUUGUUUCUACUGAACCACAAUGGGAACUCCUAGUUGGAAAUAUUUUAUACAAAAAAGUCUUUCUUAACAACUCUUUGGCUACCUGAAAAUAAAAUUUGUACAAGAAAGGCAGAAUGAAUGUUUUAUUCUCCCUCUUUGUUUACCAAUUGCCACUAAUUUAGCAACUUCCUAGAGCAACUUCUAAGUUAAUUGUAAGUUCUUUCUUUUCUUAGUAUCAGUAUAACUUGUGGAUGUUAACAUCACUGAUGUAAUAAAUGAUUUAGAAUAUGUUCUGUAGGCAAUGGUGAACCAGCAAAGGCCAUCCUCAACGUUCAAACAUAAAGCACAUCUGCAAAUGUAUCUAGAAAUCAAACAAUAAAUUUACUCAUUUUAGGAGGAAUCCUUUCCCACAAAGCUAAAGCAAAAGCAAAAUCUCUAAACACAGCUAAAAUUUUAGCUUGAACAAGGAAAACUUCCAGGAUUCUGUACUUGUUCUCUGAUUCUCUUCUUUCCUUUACUCACUUUGCUGGCCUUCGUCUCAUGAAUGAAUGUCUGGUUGAGGCUAGAGAUGCAGUGCCUCGGGCACACCUAAGGAUUUCAUCUUAUGUAAAUUACAUUUAUAAAAUCUACAUUUCCUGUAACUAGUAUUUGCACUUUCAUUUUUAUAAAAUAAGAGCAAGUAAAUUUUCGAAAUAUAGAACACUGCUCUAAUAAGUUAAAACUAUUGUGUGGAUGAUGGAGAUGAGGCUCAUGAAGCACUGACCAGCAGUGUGAGAGUCCAACAGGAUUGUCAGCAGAUGUACCAAGGCCAGAACUGAAUCUGCAAAAGGAGGGUUGGGUGUUUUGAUAGGGAAUGCAUGAAAUUGUUUGUUUGUUUGUUUGUUUGUUGAAAAAACUUUGUUUCCAUUUGGUCCAAGGCUGGGGAGAGGGCUCCAGGGUGGUUAAAAAGUGACUACUGGCUGCAGGAUGGGGCUUUAGGCAGAAACUCUCACACCAGAGGGGCUCCUCAAAGGCCGCUGGGCUCCAGAGGCUCCUAGUCCUGCUUGAGGGUGAGCCUUUCCAAGAGAUACUCAUCCAGCUCAGCCUGGGGACCAGCCAUCCUGCAGAAGUUGGUCAAGUGGUCUCCGAUCUUUGCCUGCUCCUCUAGGACGUGGCUCUCCAGGAGGUCACAGAGGUGGGGGGUCUGCUCAGGCAGAACCCUGGGCAUGUGGAUCCAAAAGGGCAUGGUUCGGGUUCCCUCCCAGGACCAUGGCAGCUAAACCCCAUAGCAUCCUGGGUUUUACCCCACACAUCCUGAGAUGGCUUCUUUCUGGAAGAGGAUGGAGCUGCCUUGCUGGUUUUGCAUUUUUAAGAGGUGCUUGGUGCCCUUGCACUUCUCCUUGGCCAAUUCUCCAUAAAAAAAAAAAAGUGGUCCACACCCUCUAGAGCUACAUUGUUGCGGAUGAAAUAGCCCAGAGAGAGGCAGGUGUGGGAGGCCCCCUGAUGGAGGUUGACCAGGCGGCUGAGAGUGGCCUCCACCUGGCAAGAAUAAUUCUGAUGCAUCUGGAAGCCCAGAGUUGAUCCAUAAUAAUGAGUUAAGCUCCGAAAAUGAUGUUAGCUGGUCACAGAGGCCAAGGAUAGCUGAGUGACUACCUCUGAAAGUUUCGAUUGGAAAAAAGUUUGGAGGGUGGUCAGAGGCUGGAGGAAGGGGUCUACCUGGGUCUGUUCCAUUGAAACACUGUUGAAGCGAGGGACACCUGUGGGACUGCCGAGCGCACUGCCUGAUGGGGAAUGCAUGAAACUGUUCUCGGCUGUGACAUGCUGGUUUUGCUGUCAGCUUAUCCUUCUAUCUCUACUAGAAGGUUAGUUAGUUAGUUAGUUCCAGGAAGGCAGGAGCCAUACAUGUAUUAUUCAUUUACUCGCAAGCAUCCAGGACCUGUUUGUUUGUUUGUUUUUAAAGAAAGAACAAGUGAUGUAUGCCAAGCAAGAGAAAAAUCUACAGUGGCUUUCAUCAGCAAGAAUUAUAAUUAGCUCUAUUUUUUAGGUGUAUCUGUUGCACAUUUUGAUUCUGGUGUAUUGGUAUUAUAAACCACUUUUUCUUUAAAAAUUAAUUUAUCUGAGACAGAGGUAAUACUUUUCAUUUAGGAGUAUUUUGAAAAGCAAACAAAUUAAAUCAAACUAUCGAUUAUUCUAUUCCUUAAGGUUAACAUUUGGGUGUUUCUUCCUGUAAUUCUCUAUGUACAUAAUGAACGGUAUUGGAAUUAUCUAGGACAUAUUGUUUAGUAACCCCUUUUAAAAGUUUAAAUACGCUGGGAGUUCCCAUUGUGGCUCAUCAGGUUACUAACCCAACUAGUAUCCACGAGGAUGCAAAUUUGAUCCCUGGCCUUGCCCAGUGGGCUAAGUAUCUGUGGUGAGCUGUGGUGCAGUUUGAAGAUGCAGCUCAGAUAUGGCAUUGCUGUGGUUGUGGUGUAGGCCAGCAGCUGCAGCUCUGAUUCGACCUGUAGCCUGGGAACUUCCAUAUGCCACAAGUACAGCCCUAAAAGGAAAAAAAAUAAAUAAAUACAUGGUUAAUUAUUCUCCUGUGUCACCUUCUCCCACAGCAGAAAUUCUUUUGUUUGUUCUUUUAAUUUUUUAUUAUAGUCAGUUUACAAUGUUGUGCCAAUUUCUGCUGUACAGUAAAGUAACUAAGCCAUACAUAUAUUUACAUUCUUUUUAAAAUAUUCUUUCCAUCAUAGUCUAUCCCAGGAGAUUCGACACAGUUUCCCUUGCUAUACAGUAGGACCUUAUUGUCCAUCCAUUCUAAAUGUAAUAGUUUGCAUCUACUAACCCCAAACUCCCUCCCCAUUCCACUCCCUCCUCCCUCUCCCUUGGCAACCACAAGUCUGUUCUCCAUGUCUGUGAGUCUUUCUGUUUUCUAGAUAGGUUCAUGUGGUGCCACAUUUUAGAUUGCACAUGUAAGUGAUACCAUAUGGUAUCUGUCUUUCUCCUUUGAACUUACUUCAAUUAGUAUGAGAAUCUCUAGUUGCAUUCUAAAAAUUUUAAGAAGCAGUAAUUCUGAUCUGAAUUGUGCUUAUUAAUACAAGCAGGCUAUUCCAUGGCACACACAGGUUCAAGAUGGGAGAUUAAGUUCAACAGCCAUUCAUUUAGAUUUGGUUUGAUUUUCUGCCAGUCUUAUGACUGACUUAAAACAGGUCCUAGGACAGAGAAUUUUUUGUUUGGUCGAGGGAAGCAGCAAAAUAGAGGAGCCACCCCAAAUUCCAGAUGAACAGAUAGAGUCAACAUUCUCUUUACACCAAAGUUACCCAUUUACUGCAGCAAAAUUUGAACCAAAAUGUUUAAAAUGCCACCUAAGUUAGGUCAAACAUCCUCUGUGGAAAGUAACCUGUUAGUAUAGAAAGGAAUGGAAAUGGUAAAGCUGAAAAGAAGCUGAAAACAAAAGACCUAUCAAUAGAUACAUUUUGCUUCCAAGACUCUACACUGCGUACAUGUCCUUAUUCAUCAUCCUCAGAAGAUGAAUUGAAGCUGAUUCAGUGUCACUUGCUUCUGCAGUAGUUUCCCAGGCAUCUUAGCUAGGAGACACCCUGCCCCCAGGGUAUUGAGGGCAAAUAAAUAUUUCAAGCCGACUGACAAUAGGAAAGAAUUGUAGGACAAGAAACUACCUGCAAUCCCUAGGUGGGAGUAUCCUGGAAAGUGACGUGCUGAAAUACCGACCCUUCCAGCUGGUUAACUCUGAGAUUCAAGCAUUUGCUUUAGUGAUAUGCACUCAUCAAGGGAAUAUAUAACAGCUUAAGGAUUCAAGGAUUUCACCUGCAGAAUUGGAAGAGAUUCAAAGUGAGUGCCAGGCAUUACUGACUUUAAAAAGCUUAAGGAAAGAACAAUGCUUAGGCCUUUUGAGUCAUUAGGUGUAGUAUAUAUGUGUUGUUUUUUGACCAUUGGUAUUCAUUUCCUAUUUUGGUGACAGUGACCCAUUUUUUUUUUUUUUUCUUCUGGGGAACCACUCCUACAGGUGAACCAGAGGUGAAGCAUCCAACUCAUAUUUGGCCAGUGACAGCAAAGAAUGUUCCUAGUUCAGUAAUGCAUUAAGGGAUGGGCAGGUAACCGUGUUGGUUCAGUUAAUGAAUCCAGGACUACUGGGAAGGAUCUCUUUCUUGCUGGACUGGGACUGGAUUGGAUGUACACUUGAGGUUGUUGAGAACCGUAUUGCUAUCACAUGAAGUCUGAGUAUAAAGCUGAUAAGAAGAGCUGAGCCUUCUCCCCCCCUCAACCCCCACAAAAGGCUCUCUCUUUUAUUUGUCUGACCUGAAGUAGGCAUGAAAGGCAAUGCACUGAAAAUUCUAAUUCGACCCUUAUUUUUGUAGGAUGACUACAAGUGUCUAAAUUAAGUAUUUAUAAGGAAGUUGAUGCUUCAUGAUAACAGCAACAAGGUCUACAUUUGAAUAAUUUAUUAUAUGAGCAUUGUAAAAGUUCUUCUAUGGCACUGUAGAGUAAAUAAAAUAAAUCUUUUCUCAAGAAAUGUAUAAUCUACUUAGACAAGACCAGCAUUAAAAAACAAAACCUUUUAGGAGUUCUUGCUAUGGCACAACAAGAUCAGUGCUGUCUCUGUAGCACUGGGAUGUAAGUUCAAUCCCCAGCCCAGCACAGUGGGUUAAGGAUCAGGCACUGGUGUAGCUGCGGCAUAGGUCACAACUGUGGCUCAGACCUGAUUGCUGGUCCAGGAACUCCAUAUGCUGUGGGGUGGCCAAAAACAAACAACCAAAAAGAAAAACCCUUUAGACUGCAAGUGAAUUGCAGACAGUAAUGCAUGUAAAUAUUCUGAAUGGCAAUAUAAAGUACAAACAAAACUAGAACAAAGCAUGAGAAAGAAGCUUUAGACUAAACUCCAAGUAUUUCCAUUUAAUUCACAAGGCAUUGAUCUUUGUAUCCUAGUCUUUUUUUUUUUUUUUUUUUUUUGUCUUUUUAGGGCCGCACCUGAGGCAUAUGGUGGUUCCCAGGCUAGGGGUCUAAUUGGAGCUGUAGCCUUCAGCCUUCGCCACAGCCACAACAACUCAAGAUCCAAGCCAAGUCUGCAACCAAUACCAAAGAUCACAGCAACACUGGAGACUUAACCCACUGAGCAAGGCCAGGGAUUGAACCUGCCUCCUCAUGGAUGCUAGUCAGAUUCGUUUCCACUGAGUCACAACAGGAACUCCUGUAUCGUAGUAUUUAAGUGGAUUCCUAGAAUUGUAUUUCCUACAUGGAUGCUUCCUGUGAAUUACUGACUUGAAUAGUCAAUUGCCUAUUUGAUAUAUCCAUUUAUCAAAUUCAAAAGACAUCACAAAUUUAUCUUGUCCAAAAAGCCUUCUGCUCCAAACUUGUUUGUAGACACUGCCUUCCACAUUUCAGUAGAUGGCAACCCCAUCCUUCCAGUUGCUCAGAUCUAAAACUUUAAGCAGUAUCUCUUUUCUUAUACCUGUAAGAAAAUCUUACUGGCUCUAUGUUCAAAAUUUAUUUGGAAUUUAACAACUUCUUACCACCUCCACUACUAUCUAAAUUAUUACAAUACUGGUCUUCCUUAUCUUCUACCUCCUAAAAUCUAUUUACAAACCAGCAGCUGAAGCAGUCUUCUCAUUUUAUUGGGAAAAAUCUAAAACAUAUAGAAAAAUUGAAAGAUUUUACAGUGAUCCGUCUGUAUACUCACUACCUAGAAUCUACCAUUUCUAAGAUAACAAAUCUUAUAGCUCCUCUGCUCAAAAUGCCUCAAUGCCUUGCCUCAUUCAAAGAAGAAAAGCCAGGAGUUCCUGUUGUGGCUCAGCAGAAAUGAAUCUGACUAGUAACUGUGAGGUUGCAGGUUCAAUCCUUGGCCUCACUCAGUGGGUUAAGGUUCUGGCAUUGCCAUGAACUAUGGUGUAGGUCAUAGAUGCAGCUCAGAUCCUGCCUUGGCAUAGGCUGGCAGGUAUAGCUCUGAUUUGACCCCUAGCCUGGGAGCCUCCAUAAGAGAGAGAGAAGAAAAGCCAAUUUCUUACCAUGGUCUCCAAGACCCAGCAUGCUCUGGUCCCUACAACCAUCCUUCCCUCUCGUCCAUUACUUUUCAGUCAUACUGGCCUCCUAAUGAGGCCAUCAAAUGCAGCGAGUAUUCUUGCUUUAGGACUUUUGCACCUGCUUUCUCUUCACUUGGGAUUCUCUUCACCUUCCACCACAAAUUUGCAUGGCUUGCCUCUUUCUUUGGAUCACCUUAUCAGAGGUUUUCUCUAACUCUUCCAAGUAUUAAAUUGAACAAUGUAACUCUAAUGUCAUCCUACCAGGCUGUAAACCAUAAACUUAAUAUCAUUCUGAGGUUUUAAAAAUAUAUAUAAAAGAUCAGUAAUUUCACAUGGUUCAAGCUAAUGAAUGAGCAGAAGCACCCUACCAUUUUAUUUUUACCUGAUUUCCAAUAUGCAUAAUAGCACUUCUCACCAUCUUAUGUACUGUUUGUAUAUUGUCUGUAAGAUCUCAAAGGGGAGUUCUCUUGUGGCACAGCGGGUUAAGGAUCCAGCAUUAUCACUGCUAUGGCUUGGGUCAUUGUUGCGGCUCAGGUUCCAUCCCUGGCUUGGGACCUUCCACAUGCCAUGGGCAUGGCCAAACCCCCCUCCCCGCAAAAAACAAAAACAACUCCUCAGAGAGAAAGAGUCCAUAUUUUGUCCACUGCUGUGUAUUCAGUGUAAAACAAGUACUUUGCCCAUGGUUGGCACUCAUUUAUUUAGAAAAUGAAUUCUUUUGGAGUUCCCAUUGUGGUGCAGUGGUUAACGAAUCUGACUAGGAACCAUGAGGUUGCAGGUUCUAUCCCUGGCCUUGCUCAGUGGGUUAAGGAUCCGGUGUUGCCAUGAGCUGUGGUGUAGGUUGCAGACGUGGCUCAGAUCCUGCAUUGCUGUGGCUCUAGUGUAGGCAGGUGGCUACAGCUCCAAUUCGACCCCUCGCCUGGGAAUCUCCAUAUGCCGCAGGAGCGGCCCUAGAAAAGUCAAAAAGCCAAAAAAAAAAAAAAAAAAAAAAAAAGAAAGAAAGAAAGAAAGAAAGAAAAGAAAAUGAGAUGAGUUCUUUUUUCUUUUUUGGAUUUACCUGAGUUAUACAGAAGUUCCUGGGCUGGGGAUCCUGGUGCCAGAUCCUUAACUGCUGAGCCACCAGGGAACUCCUAAAGAUUGAUUUCUUUACACUUAUGUCAGAGUGAGCCUUUAAAAACAGAGUCUGGGGAGUUCCUGCUGUGGCACAGCGGGUUACAAACCUGACUAGUAUCCAUGAGGUUGCAGGAUCAAUCCCUGGCCUCACACAGUGGGUUAAGGAUCUGGUAUUACCAUAAGCUGUGGCGUAGGUUGAAGACACAGCUUGGAUCCCACAUUGCUGCGGCUAUGCUGUAGGCUGGCAGCUGCAGCUUCGAUUCAACCCCUAGCCUGGGAACUUCAUAUGUCGAAGGUGCAGCCAUAAAAUACAAAAACAAAACAAAAACAAAAACAACAACAACAACAACAAAAAUAGAAUCUGAUCAUGUCACUCCUACUACAAACCCUUCAAUUCAUUUGUAUUGCUUUCAAAAGAUAAGAAUUCUUACUAAUAGGGAUCCUGCUGUGGUGCAGUGAGUUAAAGAUUGGUCAUUGUCACUACAGUAGCUCAGGUUUCUGCUGUGGUGCAGGCUUGAUCCCUGGCCUAGGAACUUCCGCAUGCUGAGAAUGUGGCAAAAAAAAAAAAAAAAAAAAA
rnacentral:lncRNA from 1 species